rnacentral:lncRNA from 1 species
AUCUGAAUGACCAUAUUGGGGACCACAUGGUUUGGCUUCUAGGUACACAUAUGUGGGCAUUUCCUGUAGAAGCUGCUUUUCCUGAAUAAUGAGCUAUUUGAAACUGAAAUAUGCUUACCUCUUGUCAUCACUGAGAUGUUGACAUAAGGGUGUCUUUUAUUCCAAGUAUUCCAAGUAGUUACAUGGAAAUAAACCCUCCCUUUCUUUUGAGUAUUUGGCCUGAAAGUCCAGUUUAACAGCCCAUUCCUAGACACUGGGGAUAUAUAAGGUGAAAUGUCCAGCUGUUAAGUGAAUUGGUAUGGUAUGGUGGCUAGUUCCAAAUGAAAUGGCUAAGCUUCACCCCUUUGAACACUCAACUUCUCAGGGAGUGAAAAUGCUGGAACUAGGAUUUGCAGAUCCAGAGACUAAAACGUGACUUUAAAUCAGACUGACUGCAUCUGCCCAUUUUGAUGGUGAAGACCCCGUGGGAAAGACUUUUUGAUAAAUGAACAGGCAUUAGUCUUAUGACAUUUCUCCAACAUCCUGCAGUCAUCUUGAUGGCCACACCUCACUUUUCUUUACUGUCUGCUACUCCUUUGCUUCACUAAAAGCAGAAAAGGUGAAUAAUUUUCAUUCCAAGUGUUGCUGGGUUAGGGUCUCCCCGACCAAGCUGGUCUCGGCCAGUGGCGUCCAUUUUUGGGGGCUCAAAUCCAGGUCGAAGGGUCACUGGAGCGACGGUUGGAGAAUGUGGAACUAGCUGGAAGACACCCGAGUACUCUUAAAGCAAUCCCUGUGAUGGGCCUAGCAAUGGUAAAGCUUCUUAUUCUGGAUCAAAAAGCAAAGUUUUCCAGAUGCCCUAUACUUCAGCUCAAAAAUUGGAGCUUGUAGCUGUAAUUGAG